GAUAAACAUGUGAGGGCACUGAAUGAUACCCAGAUAGCCCAAAGAGGUCAAGGCUGAGCUGUGGAAGCAGCUGGAUCUUUGGGCAAAUCGGUGAAUCUCCCUCCAUGUCAAACAGAGGUAUCAAGAAACAAUUUUGUAAAUUUGAAGUAAUGCAUUGAGAAAACAGGAAAAUGUAAUGUGAGUCAGACUUCUUGGCCUCUCGCUUGCCAUUACCCUACUUGGCCGUGUCAAUGGGAUUUCAACCUAUCAUGACCAUGUGUCUAUUAAUAACACAAGAAAGCUGAACAACUUAAAGGCUGAGAUUCUGCAAAGAGUAGAAUCCCAGAAGCUCUAUAAGCAGCACUGCCCAACAGAACUUUCUGAGAUGAUGCUGAAUCACCCUCCCAGAAAAAGAAUAGACUGCUCUAUGCCUGCGCUGUCCGAUAUGGUAGCCACUGGCCACAUGUGGCAACUGAGCACUUGAAAUAUGGCUAGUGCAUAUCAAGAAGAGAUUUCUUAAUUUUAUUUACUUUUAAUGAACUUAAGUCGCCUCGUGGCUGGGGGCUAUAGUACUGGAGAGCACAGCUCUUGGGACUAGUGGCUACAGAGCACAGCUCUGGAGAAAGGAGGUGUUGGUUUGAAACAUGGAUUUGUCCCUUUGUAAUCAUGGGGAGGCACAGUCUUUCUGUGCCUUCAUUUCCUUGUCUGUAGGAGAGGUAAUAGGUGUGUGUCAUCUGUAGAGUGGUGGGGGUUGUACAGAUGGAUCAAGUCAAUACCUAUGUGGUGCCUGCAGGUUGUGUGCAUUCUCUGAAGGCUAGUUAAUAGAGGUUUUAAUUAAUAAUACCUCUGCCAUGUAUGGAGCACUUUCACGAUACACCAGGUGCUGUCCUACAAAUUUCACAGGUUAGCCUGGAACUGGACGUGCUGCUCUAGUUGUGGUCUGGCCAACAUAGCUCAUCAGGGCCACCACCUCUCCUUUCUUUUGGGAAAAUAGACUAAUACUAAAAAAAAUGAUCAUAUGCUAAAAUUAGGGCCAUUUAUAGAGAACGACUCAGUUUAAGGCACUGAGCUCAGCCCUUCCUUUGGGUCCUUUCAAUUAAUUAAUUGUCCUCAGUACAAUCCUAUGAGGAAGGUACUAUUGUGAUCCCACUGUAAAGAUGAGGAAACUGAGGCAUACAGAGUUCAAGCAACUCUGCAAAGUCACCCCUCAGUUACUGCCAAAGCCUGGACUAGAUAUUGUCUGACUUUGAGUUUUGCUUGAUCAAAUCACCCAACCUUUGUUAUUACAAUAAGCAGGCCAGCAGCAAGAAGAUUCUGGAGAGCCGCUCAGGUUCCACAGCUGUGCAAUGGCUGCUGGGCUGGCUACUGCUGUGUGACCCAGGUGUAUCCUGAGCUGAGGCAGACUCCAAGUGAUGCAUGUGGUCCAGGGGAUGAGGGGGAGAUAGGGCUCCCUAAAAAGGUUCUGCACAGAACCCUAGCGUAGCACCAAUUCCACCCAGUUGGUGGCCCUCUUCCAUGAAUCCACAUUUUGUUCAAGCUUUCUUGGAGCAGGGUAUCCCCCAUGCAAGAGCUGGAAGGGCCUGAGCUGUUCUGCAUCUCUUCCUGUAUACAUGUAUAUAAUUUGACUAAUAUUUCAAAGUUUAAAUGUCUAGCACUGACUAAAAUUGAUGGGGUCCAAUAUCAAAUUUAUAUAGUCAAUCUUAAGUUUCUCAGACUUGGAAUUUAGUCACAGGAUUAAGUAGAACUGGUCAAUUGUAACUUUGCCAAGAGAAAAAAAGCCCCAAGAAUAUAAAAAGGUAAAAUCAACAAUGUAUGAAUCAAUUAAAGAAUGAAGGAAUAAAUAAAUAAAUACCUUUUUUCUGCAACAUUAAUUCCAGUGAAUAAGCAAGUGGCCUGUUGACAACCUGGGAUAGAGAGUGGCACGCUUCCUGUACCUCCCAUAGUGUUAGGCAGGGAGCAGGCCUGAGGCUGGGGCUGGCCGUUUUCUGUGGGGCCUUUCUGUAGAGUGGCCUGUGCCGUGCCUGUCACCAGUAACGGCAGGCGAAUGCGGCAGUCAGGCUGUGUGUGUGGUCAGGCUGGGUGGGCCACUGGAAGGCAUUCCGGGAGGAGCAGCAGCUGGGUAAGGGGAGGGCAUCAAGGCUCUCGAGUCAGAGCCUUAGCAGCCAGGAGAGGCCUGUAGCACUAGUUGCUCUGACAGCUUCUAGAAGGUUCCUACAGUCUCAUGAUAAUGAUGGUGAUGAUGAUAACAGCUACAUGUACAGCAUGCCAGGCACUGAGUGAAAUGCUGUACAGUUUUAUCCCAUUUAAUCCCCAUGGCAACCCUGAAAGAUGGUCACCACUGUUAUCCCCAGUGUACAGAUGAGGAAGAUGAGGUUCAGAGAAGCAAAGUAACUCACUCUGAGUCACAUGGUAAGUAAGUGGCAGAGCUAGAGGUCAAAGAAGGUCUGACUUACUCCAAAAUCUGCACUGUUAAACACAAAUACUACAAGUUCAAUGUCCAAAGCCUACCCCUUAUGCUUAUGCCUGCCUGCGUCCUCCCUCAACAGCGUCUCCCACUGGGGACGGUAAGCACAGCGACAGGCCCCAGGUUCAUCCAGCUACUGGCGCGUGGGGGCACCCAAGGAAGGGAGCGGCAGGAUUUCCUUCAGAGAGACUUCCGGACUUAGACGGCAGAUUCAAGGCAUGUGUGUCAAUUCACUGCUUCACAGAGCCCUGUAAGUACAGCAAGGGUCUGGUGUCGUGUUUAAAGGACAAUCCCACAAGGAGAAGGAGAGCAGGAAGGCAGACAGCCACAUCACAAUUUCCCCAGCUAAGGAGUAGCUAGCUACCCUGGGAAUGAACGGGCUGCACAGCCCCGAGGAAGCUGAAUCACAACACGGCACAAAGGAAAGCAGAAAAGCAGCUUGAUCCAGAUGGCAGAAUCUUCAUCAGGCUCAGAACAGGCACCCCAGUUGUCUCUGGAACUGGGAGGUGAAGUGGACGGGGAUGACCACGUAAGGGGGUAGACCCCCGGGUCCCCUCCCUGGCUCCAUGUCCUUGGCUUUCUGCCUCUCCCUGACCCUGGCAGAAAUCUGGCUAGACCACUGCUGCUCAGUUCCCUGCUCUGCCUUCCGUACCCUGCUGCCCACAUCAACUGGCACGCUCACUUCACACCACGGAAGUGUCCUGCGUUGACCUACACCUGGAAGCUGGGGGACCUGGAGGCAGGCUGUGGUGCGCCUGAAAGCCAGCACUGAGGGUGGCCCAACCCCAUUUCCACGACUGCCAAGCAUCCUGAGUGGUGGGCUCUUCACAUCCCCCACUCCGUCAUGCCUUAGCCUCUGACCUCCCGAAAAGGGGAACUGGGGACAGACACUACCGGGGAUUACUCAGCUUCUCUCCUUCUGGCAGCCUUCAUCAAAUGUGACUGCUGCCUGCAUGCCUAGGCUGUGCUCAACACUCAGUUCUUCCAAACGAAGCGACUGCUUGUUUAAAAGUUCAUUAAUAAGUGGUGAAACUACAUAGAAAAGCGAGAGAAUUGUUAUGUCGGAAUCAACAUAGCGGGCACGUCUCAGGGGAGGGAGAGGAUGUGACCAGGGGUCUACUCAGGGAAUGGCAAUGUUCUAUUUCUCAACCUAAUUGAUGGUGACACAGGUGUUCACUUGACACUUCUUUAAGCUGUGCAUAUAGGCCUUGCAUGCUUUUCUGUAUCUGUGCUGUAUUUCACAAUGAAAGGAAAAGGCUAUAUAUACAGCUGGAUGCUAGUACUAGUUCUACAUAGAAAAAAAAGAAAUAUUGCAUUCCAACAUGUUGCCAGUGGUUAUCCCUGGCUUUUUAUAUAGCACACAUAUAUAUUUCACUAUCCCAAGGGGUUGUGUUUUGUCCACACUUGUAACCAGAAGAUCAUGAAAAAAAAAAAGACAAGGUCCCCAUCUGAAAGGGAGACUAAUGAAGACCAACACAAAAUAAGAUGGUAUGAGCCAUCUGUGGAAAUCUGUGCAGAAACAGCUCCUUGGAGAGAUUGGUGAUGUGCGUCAUCUACGAAGGAUCAGCUCAAAGCUCGCCGGGGAGCCCAGAGCUGCCUCUCAGAAGUCAGAAGAAUUGUUAUUUGUAGGAAGGAGCAGCUACACGGGGGCUUGUAAGAUAUUCUGAAUAUUCAAUUUCUUAAUCUGGUUGGUGGGUACAUGGGUGUUGGUUUUAUUAUAUGUUUUAUACACUCUUCCGAAUGUGCUGUAGGGAUAUGAAUCAACCAGGAAUCAUUUAAGUAGAAAAUAUAGUGCUACUUCAAAGGAACAACUCAAGUUCAUGCAAAAUCACCAUUAUUUAGAAUACAAAAGUCACUUUGGGAUUUUGAUCUCAUUUUCUUUUCUGCUGCCAGCCCCAGCUCUUUCUAGAGCUGUUCCCUCAGAGGGGAUCAGGGUGGGGUCAAGACAGCAGGGACCCAGCUCAGCACACUCCUCAUGGGAUUUAGGGUUGGCCUGCCUUCCUCCCCCGGGUUUUGUCCACAGAGAGGCGCACAAGUAGGUAUUCCGAUGGCGCCUGAACCCAGUUUCCUGCUGCUCCUCUUUCUCACGGCUACCUCUCCGGUCCCCGCCCCUUCCCUACCUUAUGGAGUGGGGCACCACUCUCUACUUCCCUUGAAGGUCUCAUCUUGUCUUCUUCUGACCCAUCUGUCUGCCUGGGGCUGAGUCGUCUCCCUAUGGCCCUAGCCCUUCUAACUCAGGAGAAACGAGAGAUCACCUCCUCAAGCCAUCACCCUCUGCAGAGGAAGGAGAGGUCCAUGGUUUUCACAAGAAGGCCAAGCAAUGGGAGGCCGCCUUCCCUGGUCUGAAUGCCAGGAAAGGAGAAGCAAAAGAAGCUGGAGUGUGCAGCUUCGGGGUGGGCCUGGAAGACACACACCUGCACAAAAAGCAAUGACAUGAAGGAGAGAAGAGGGCCCCACACAGAGCUGACCUUUUUGGAUCCCUCUGUGAACCUCACUGACAUGACAGCAGGGCAAUCCCAGGCAGCUGGCCAUUGGAAUGCAGUCUUCUUAAUCAUGACUGGGAACUAGGAGGACUCCUUGCGGGGCCAGCAAGGCCUCCGUCAUGCAUGUCUGGAGGAAGCUGGACCCUCAGAACAGCUCCAUCUGAGCUGCCCAGGGACUCUGGGAAGAGCCUUGCCAGCCAUAGCUACUGAAGGAAGGAUGUGGUGGUCUUGCUGACGGCUGUUCAGAACUCUUGCCAUGGGGAGUGUAAUUCGGAGCCUCCAGAAGCUGUCCCCUUGAUUUGUCACUGCAUUUGGCCUGGACCCCACUCCAACCAAU